rnacentral:rRNA from 1 species
UACGAAGGGUGCAAGCGUUACUCGGAAUUAUUGGGCGUAAAGAGCUUGUAGGCGGUCUGUCGCGUCUGCUGUGAAAAUCCGGGGCUCAACCCCGGACUUGCAGUGGGUACGGGCAGACUAGAGUGUGGUAGGGGAGACUGGAAUUCCUGGUGUAGCGGUGAAAUGCGCAGAUAUCAGGAGGAACACCGAUGGCGAAGGCAGGUCUCUGGGCCACUACUGACGCUGAGAAGCGAAAGCAUGGGGAGCGAACAGG